UACGGGGGGGGCAAGCGUUGUUCGGAAUUACUGGGCGUAAAGGGCUCGUAGGCGGCCAACUAAGUCGGAUGUGAAAUCCCCAGCUUAACCUGGGAACUGCAUCCGAUACUGGAUGGCUUGAAUCCGGGAGAGGGAUGCAGAAUUCCAGGUGUAGCGGUGAAAUGCGUAGAUAUUGGGAGGAACACCAGUGGCGAAGGCGGCUCACUGGACCGGUACUGACGCUGAUGCGCGAAAGCGUGGGGAGCAAACGGG
rnacentral:rRNA from 1 species